rnacentral:sRNA from 1 species
CAAAAAUGUCGUCAAUGGCCAGACAGCUAGGGGAUUCAUACCCUAUGCUGGCUGGACAUUCGACGACCUGACCUGUAUGAGCAAGUAAGGCAUUCGCCUGGAUUGCGAAUACAGGCAGCAAUGUCGAAAGUGCACAGCACGAAGACAUCGACUUUUA